CAUUUAAGGGGGUUCGCGGGUCUAAAUCAUUUAUAUAGGAUUUCUCUAUAUUUUUCUAUAAAUGAACUUUAUCUUAUAGUUAAUAGAAAAAUAAAAUAAAAAAAUGGGGUCACCGUUCAUUUGCGCUCACAAUCUGCCUUCGAAAGAAGCAUACAUUUUUGUAAAGGUGGUUUUUUUCUGUUGAAGUAAUAGGAGAAAUAAAGGUAAUAUCGAAAUAAAAAAAAGAAAUUUAUUACAGAAAUCGCUAAAAUUUUACAAUAAUUUAGUUUAAGUACAGCUUAUAUGGAAAUUAUAUUAAAAAAGAUAGGUCACCGAUGAGUUGAAAAAGAUAUUUCAAUUUUAGAGCCAAAAAAUGGCAUUUUUCCACCAAAGGGAGAUAAUUUGGAACUUUUUCAAUAAUGUAUUCAUUUUGAAAGUCAUCUGGGGCC
rnacentral:lncRNA from 1 species